rnacentral:rRNA from 1 species
UAGCGUAUAUUAAAGUUGUUGCAGUUAAAAAGCUCGUAGUCGGAUUUCGGGGCGGGCCGACCGGUCUGCCGAUGGGUACGCACUGGUCGGCGCGUCCUUCCUUCCGGAGACCGUUCCUACUCUUAACUGAGCGGGGGCGGGAGACGGAUCGUUUACUUUGAAAAAAUCAGAGUGUUUCAAGCAGGCAGCUCGCUCUUGCAUGGAUUAGCAUGGGAUAAUGAAAUAGGACUUUGGUGCUAUUUUGUUGGUUUCGAACACCGAAGUAAUGAUUAAAAGGGACAGUCAGGGGCACUCGUAUUCCGCCGAGAGAGGUGAAAUUCUCAGACCAGCGGAAGACGAACUACUGCGAAAGCAUUUG